rnacentral:rRNA from 1 species
CCUACGGGGGGCAGCAGUGAGGAAUAUUGGUCAAUGGACGCAAGUCUGAACCAGCCAUGCCGCGUGCAGGAAGACGGCUCUAUGAGUUGUAAACUGCUUUUGUACGAGGGUAAACGCAGAUACGCGUAUCUGUCUGAAAGUAUCGUACGAAUAAGGAUCGGCUAACUCCGUGCCAGCAGCCGCGGUAAUACGGAGGAUUCAAGCGUUAUCCGGAUUUAUUGGGUUUAAAGGGUGCGUAGGCGGUCGGAUAAGUUAGCGGUGAAAUCCCGGGGCUCAACUUCGGAAUUGCCUCUGAUACUGUUCGGCUAGAGAGUAGUUGCGGUAGGCGGAAUGUAUGGUGUAGCGGUGAAAUGCUUAGAGAUCAUACAGAACACCGAUUGCGAAGGCAGCUUACUAAGCUACUUCUGACGUUGAGGCACGAAAGCGUGGGGAGCAAACAGGAUUAGAUACCCCUGUAGUC